rnacentral:sRNA from 1 species
AAAGCCUACAGCACCUGGUAUUCCCAGGCAGCCUCUUACCUAAGUACUAACCAGGCCCAACCCUGCUUAGCUUCC